ACUCCACAUCCGCAUCCUUUGCUGAGGAUACGGUUAACGGAGCGAAAGCGACGUUCAACCGCAAAACAAGCAGAGGGGGCUUAGUGGUGGGGUGACUGCGUACCUUUUGUAUAAUGGGUCAGCGACUUAUAUUCUGUAGCAAGGUUAACCGAAUAGGGGAGCCGGAGGGAAACCGAGUCUUAAUUGGGCGUUAAGUUGCAGGGUAUAGACCCGAAACCCGGUGAUCUAGCCAUGGGCAGGUUGAAGGUUGGGUAACACUAACUGGAGGACCGAACCGACUAAUGUUGAAAAAUUAGCGGAUGACCUGUGGCUGGGGGUGAAAGGCCAAUCAAACCGGGAGAUAGCUGGUUCUCCCCGAAAGCUAUUUAGGUAGCGCCUCGUGAAUUCAUCUCCGGGGGUAGAGCACUGUUUCGGCUAGGGGGCCAUCCCGGCUUACCAACCCGAUGCAAACUGCGAAUACCGGAGAAUGUUAUCACGGGAGACACACGGCGGGUGCUAACGUCCGUCGUGAAGAGGGAAACAACCCAGACCGCCAGCUAAGGUCCCAAAGUCAUGGUUAAGUGGGAAACGAUGUGGGAAGGCCCAGACAGCCAGGAUGUUGGCUUAGAAGCAGCCAUCAUUUAAAGAAAGCGUAAUAGCUCACUGGUCGAGUCGGCCUGCGCGGAAGAUGUAACGGGGCUAAACCAUGCACCGAAGCUGCGGCAGCGAACGUAUCACCCAAGACAACUUUACGGAGUUGACGAUUGACGGAGCGAAGCGACGUCAAAGCGUUCAUUAAAGUCGAGUUGGCUUAGGGAUACGUUCGUUGGGUAGGGGAGCGUUCUGUAAGCCUGUGAAGGUGUGUCGUGAGGCAUGCUGGAGGUAUCAGAAGUGCGAAUGCUGACAUAAGUAACGAUAAAGCGGGUGAAAAGCCCGCUCGCCGGAAGACCAAGGGUUCCUGUCCAACGUUAAUCGGGGCAGGGUGAGUCGACCCCUAAGGCGAGGCCGAAAGGCGUAGUCGAUGGGAAACGGGUUAAUAUUCCCGUACUUGGUGUUACUGCGAAGGGGGGACGGAGAAGGCUAUGUUGGCCGGGCGACGGUUGUCCCGGUUUAAGCGUGUAGGUGUGUGUUCCAGGUAAAUCCGGUUCACUUUAACACUGAGGCGUGACGACGAGGCACUACGGUGCU
rnacentral:rRNA from 1 species